GUCUUAGUGGCCGAUUAUAAGCAGAAAUCUGUAAAAUUUCUUAUGAACUAAUAUUCCUAAGACC
rnacentral:tRNA from 1 species